UACAUCGUUGUUGUUGCUACCUUUCCUGA
rnacentral:piRNA from 1 species